rnacentral:lncRNA from 1 species
GAUAUGAAGAAGUACAUCUCUCACUGAAGGAGUAACAAGCAUCAUAUGAGCAAGAUUUCCAAUAAAAGCACAUUGCAUACACCAUUCUAUUUUAUGAACAAAAGCAACAACAACAACAACAACUACCCAGCGUUACCCCUACCCGAAAGGGCAGAGAGGCUGUUUCCAAUCGGCCCUCGGCGCAUAGGAUAAAAGGAAAAACAGCAGUAAAACCAAAACAAAGACAAAAACAAAAACAAUAGAGCAUUAGUAACUCCCGCAGAAAUAGCGUAAAUAAUUAUCUAAACAAAAGAAACAUAAAUGAAGAAGUACAUCUCUCACUGAAGGAGUAACAAGCAUCAUAUGAGCAAGAUUUCCAAUAAAAGC